rnacentral:rRNA from 2 species
UGAACCUGCGGAAGGAUCAUUAACGAU